rnacentral:lncRNA from 1 species
UGAUUUUUAUUCUGCUUGCAUCGGGGUUGCACCAUUGGUUUGCUAUUUUCUUUUAGCAGAAUUUUGUGCAUGCAAAUGGCUAGAGUGGUUCAUUGAAUAUCAGUAUGGUCCAGCUAAUAGACUUUUUGUACUUUUUCAGUAGCUUCACCAGCUUUUUUUCCUAUGUACCUGUCAAGUAAGUAGAAAUGUAUCACAAAAAUUGUUAAUUUCAAGAGAAGCGUAUUUCAAGUGAGUAGGGAGGACUUAUUCCACAGUAGACUUAAAAGCCUCCUUUUUUAGUUCCUCCUCAUUGGCCUCUUUCUUUAUUUUAGGAUCCUCCUCCUCCACUACACUAGACAGAGUAAUAUACCUCUUUAGAGUAUCCCUCACAAGCUUGUCUAACGUAAAUUUUUCAGCCAAUUCCCCAGAAACAUAUAGCUUGAAACACGAGUAGGAAGAUGCCUCAUCACUAAGGUAUUUUAUAAUUCUCCUUAUCUGGAACACCACUUUCUCGUUUCCCACUCUAAGCAUAAGUUUCCCCUCAUAGAUAUCAUGGAUUUCUCUACCAAUACAUUAAAAUAGCCGUCUUAAAAUUAGAGGCACCUCAUUGUUCACUUUAUAUUCACAAUAAUAAAGUCUACAAGGAACACAAAUUUAUUCAUUCGUACUAGAAUAUCCUCAAUGAUUCCCUUGGGAAAAAUGGUGGGCUAAUCAGCCAGUUGUAAAGACACUGGUAUUGAUUUGAAUACUCCAAGCUCAUCUUCCUGUUUCCUGAACACAAACAAAUGUAUUAGAUUUAUAGAAGCACCUGAAUCAUACAGGGCCUUGUCGAAUAUGUCACUCCUCAAUGAGCAUGGUAUGGUGAAGCUUCCUGGGUCCCCGCACUAUUAAGGAAUUUUAUUUUACAAUAUGGUACUGCAGUGGCCAUUCAACUUGACCAGUGUUGUCUCCUUUAAUUUCCUCUUGAUGGAAAAUAUUUCCUUCAAGAACUUAGUAUAAGAAGACAUCUAAGUGAGUACCUCUGUGAAGGGAAUGUUCACAUAAAUUUUCUUGAUCCUCUCCAACAACCGGCCAAAACACUUGUCAAGUUUUUCCCGCUUCAUUUUUUGAGCGCAUGGUAGAGCUAGCAUGAGUCUACUUUCUUCGAUCUCCUUUUGUUCCCUACUACUCUGACCUUUCUGUUCUUUACUCUUUGCUCUUGUAGUUUCUCAGUCGGCUUGCUCACUACCUCGGGUCUAACUUUCACAACUGGGUCAUCUAAUGUUUUGCCACCUAUCAGAUAUACAUGUUUGAUUGUUUCCUUUGGGUUCUUUUCAUUCUUAGAGGGUAGAGUCCCAUGAGCCUCUCAGACAACAAGUAUGUAAUUUGUCCCAUUUGUAUUUAUAAAUUUCAGAUGGCUGACUUUCUCCCGGGCGACUGUGCCUAAAGUCUCAAAAUGUUCAUAUGAUUUGUUGAUGAACACAUUAUGAGAUUUUUCAUUCUAGAAUUAUUUGACUGUUGUGGCUGGUAUUUCUACCUCAGCUGAAUUUGAAAACUCGGUGAUCCUUGACUAUGGGGUCUAGGAUUAUUUUACUGCAACGAGUUCAAAUUUCCACUAGGUGAACUCCAAGAAAAACCUAGAUGUCUUUUCCCCAUAGAAUUAUAGUUGUUCCCACCUUGGUAGUUUCCUCUAGUAUAGCUUUCCACAACGUUAACUUCCUCAGAUAAAUUGUGACAUUCAUGUGUAGGGUGUUCCAUUCCACAAAACAUGUUUGCGAAUCACUUUGUACCUUGGCUAAGGUCAUCUUUCUUAUCUCUUUGGUCGUGGUGUCUAGAUGGUCUUUCGCUGAUGUAUUAGAAUCCACCUAGUGAAUACCAAUAAAUUUUCUUCUUCAUUACUCUCAGUAGGCCACCGGUUAGCAUCCUCAGAUAAUUCAUGAAGGAAUGAGACAACUUGCUCCGAAGUUUUCUUCAUUAAUGGACCUCUACAUGCAAUACUAAGAGUUCGUCGUGAUGAAGGUGUCGGUCUAUCCAAAAA